UAUGCGUGGCCACUGACCACUGUCCCUCUUAUCUCUUCGUCUUCUCUUACCCGACGUCGUUUCCUCCUGAGCCACCGCCGAACUCCACCUCUUCCCCCGCCGAACUUUCCUCCCCUUCUCUUCAUCUCGCGUCACCGCGAUCUCUUCUCAUCUUACCCAACCGGAGCUCCUUUCUCUCUUCCUCGUGCGGAUCGUCGGACUCCAUGGCUUCCUCCGCAUGCGCCAAGGGUUUAUCGGCCGCUGGACUCCCCUUCCAGGCGGCAUCCCUGGUUCCGACGGCGCACUACCUCGCCACCGAGCUCCUCUCGCGGGUUUUCUUCUUUUCUUCAUCGCGUCGCCUCUAGCCGACGCCACCACCGCCGUCUCCCUCUGCCCUAGCUGUGAUCUCGACAUCGCCGGUUGUCGUUCAUCCACACAAGCAGCCAACGCGGUGGUCCUUCCUCUCCCUCGGUUCAGCGUCUCCACUGCGAAUAGCCAAAUCGCGGCGAUUUAACUUUCCCCUCUCUUGAUUCCCCGGCGCUGAAGACCAUUGAUCUUUCGUCCCUCACGAUCCUGCCUCACCGUCGCCUACCCCUAGGCCGCCGGUGAUCCCUGAGGUAUAGUGGUAGCAACGGCCGGUGUCCAACACAAUCGGUUCCUUCUCGGGUUGCCAUCCGACCACCGAGCCAUUUCCUAGUUUUGGUCAACGCUGCCUUUCCUUUCACCGAUCAGAUCCAGCCAACUCCGUGAACUGCCGUCGCUGUGGGCUGCCGACAUUGUAGCGACCACCACCGGCUGCCAGCAGCUUCUCCAACCCAGGGACAUCGUUGGCUGCUUGGUUGUCGGGAAUUGGUCUCCGCUGGAAAGGGAUCUGCUGAUAAAUUUGGGAGAAGGGUGGGCAGCAGAAGCAUAGACCACCACUGUUGGCCGUGAGCCACUACCAGUGCGACCUAAUUGCUAAAUUGGGGACUUUGGUUCGAGACGGGCGUCUCGACGUAGGAUUUCUGGAUAUGAUCUUCUAUUGAGGCGGGUACUUCUGAUUUAUCUUUUUGAUAUAGUCAUUUUAGAUAUGCAUAAUAAUUUAUUCCUAGUAGUAAUGAUUAUGUUUGCAUCUGCUUUGGUAUAUCACUAUUUGGUUAUUGUAGUUUUCCUAUAUUCUUGUCUGUUGUGCACUCAUGGUUAUAUUCUCUUGUUUGUUGCCAUGUUUACUCCUGUUCAUAGGAAUAGUGACAUAUAUUGUCCUACUGUGUAGUGGUCUAGUUAUUUGAUAUAUCUGUUUUGUGUACCUGGAUUUAGGUUACUUGGAUCAUUGUAUGAUUUAUUUCUUUUAUGGUGCAUGUUAUAUGGAGGUGUAUACUGUUUGUAUCUAUAUGUUUAGUGUCAUGCAUUAUCUUGCACGAUUGCAUGCUGAGCGAUUGUCGACUUCAUUAUUGUUGAGCACGUCGCUAGGUACAUGAUCUGCACACACAACCAUUUAUAAGUUAGUGGUAUAUCAGACAGUGUGUGUGCAGUUCAGUGCGCCACUGGUCCAUUCAUAGUAGCGUGUCGCAGCGUGGUAGCACGUCAGGGAUCCAUCUUCUGGACUGUCUCAGAGAGAUGAGAGUAUUGCCCUCCCCCACUCUAUUUGGGGUAGGAGGAUAGGUGUACUCGGACAACAUCCUGUCUACUCGGUCACUCAGGAGCAGUGAUGGCAGAGUGAACAGUUGUCAUAGCCCUACCCACUCGGCCUCACCAUCGCGUGUGA